rnacentral:lncRNA from 13 species
GGAAAACUAACACAAGAGAAGCACUGCAGUGUGGGAAGGGCCAAGACUGCAUAGAAGCUGCUGUGUGGCCGAGGUCAUCCCUGCAGACCGUGGCCAGUCCCAGACGUGGUCUCCCAGCCACGGGCGGGGGCUGUGUGGACUGUCAUCAGAGUUGCCUUCUGAACCUCCUUGGCACCAGGCCCUGUGCAGCCACAGCCCUGCCCCCCUUCGCUCCCUUCCGCUGCCCUCAGGUUGAGGGGCCCCUGUUCCUAGGAGCCUGGGUUAGGAGCUGGGUUGCACUGACCCUAUCUGAGGGUAGGGUGUCAUGAUCUUACCAACCACCUUGAUCUCUGCAGGAGGAAUUACCCGAAACCACAGAAAUGAAGUUCACAGGAGAGAAUAAAUGGGGUAAAGUAGGUUCCACAACAAAGGUAACGGUUCUGUGAGGGGUUCCAGGAGAACGUCGAGGGCUUAGGAUCUCGUGGCAGUCCAUUGAGGAGCACAGACCUGCACCAAGAGGCUCCACCGAGGUCCUCUUGGCCCCAGGGGCUCUGUCCCGCUCACACCUAGACUUUUCCUGGGCACAGGCCUGAGCAGACCCAGUGCACCCUGUCUGAGUUCCUCUGCAUCUCUGGAGCUGGGUCACCAGCAGGGAAGGAGAGACCUGAAAUGGAGCCAGGAAGUCCCAGCAUGAGAUGCUGCUCUGCAAUGGGAGGGAGGAGUAGGCAGGACUUGAGACCAGGAGGCCGUGGGGAAGGAGCCUGGAAGCCACGAAGCUCCUCACAGUUCCAUCAUCACACGCUGUACAGGAAGCCUGGCGCCUGCAUCUGCUUCUGGGGAAGGCUCAGGAAGCUGCAAUCAUGGCAGAAGGUGAGGAAGAGCAGGCACCCCACAUGGCAGGAGUGGAAGCAGGGAAAGGGAGGUGCCACACUUUAUACAAUCAGAUCCAUGAGAGCAAACUCACUAUCACAAGGACAGCACCAGGCUCUGUGGGAUCCACCCCUGUGACGCAACACCUCCCACCAGGCCCCACCUCCAGCACUGGGAAUUGCAUUUCAACAUGAGGCUUGGCGAGGGCAGAUAUCCAAACCACGUC